AUGGCCACUAAUCUCUCACAACCUUCAACCAGCAGAAACGGAUAAAUCUUUUCUGGUCAUCACUCUUCUAUUCUACUACUCUCCCUCUUUAUUUUAUGCGGCCGAAAUGGCCGAAAAUCCCUUACCCACUACCAUGAAUGGUGGUUCAACUCUCUCUGGCCAUAAAAAUCCACUCCAUAGUAGUAUCAAAACCUAAACAAACCUAGACCACAAAACAAUCCCUACUAAACCAAAGAAAUGUGAACCAAACAGCCCCCAUUUUCCCAUUUCCGGUGACCAACGAACUCACAUGCAGAGCUCCGAACGACAACUAAGGGAAACCAACCUUUUCUUAACCCUGACUGUUCGACUAUUUUGGCGAUGAUAGGGCUAAUCCCGAAGUGUCAAGGAAACCAAUAUUCAUAAAAGCUCGGUCGACCACCAAACGUGGAUGACACACUUACCCCGACCACUAAAGGACUCGAUCGACCAAGUCACAUAUGCUGAGAUGGCCAGAUGAUGACAGCUUCUAGAAGUAUUUGGUGAUGGCUCUAUGUUGGCUUGACACUGCAGUGGGAGGCAUGCGUGGAUGAAAAUGUCAAUUUGCUUUAGGAUUAGGAUUU